AAAUCAGACAAAAAAA
rnacentral:sRNA from 1 species